ensembl:miRNA Mir194-2 microRNA 194-2
GUGGCUCCCACCUCCUGUAACAGCAACUCCAUGUGGAAGUGCCCACUGGUUCCAGUGGGGCUGCUGUUAUCUGGGGUGGAGGCUGG